CAGAGGUGUGCCACAAGGGGAUGAUGGGCUGAGCUGUUUGCCUCUCUUCUCUGAUUAAUUGCCUCAGUGUCAGGGAAUUGGCCCAUCCACAUGUACCUGCCAGUUCAAUUCUUUAAGUUUUCUGUCAUCGCUUAACCACUGAUCACGAGUGUCUAAAGCUGUUUAACCGUCACACGUGCUUGCACAAGUCUAGUUGAGAGACUACCAAUAAAUCCACCUGAUUUUAUUAAUUAUGCUGGUGACAGGCUCUAAUCACGGGUGGGGGCAGGAAAAAGUCUUACUUUAAGUACCUAUAACCAGCAGUUUAUAUGUACAUGGGCUAUAAACAUUUAUGCUUCAGAGCACAAAGCUAUGAGUGAUGAAGCUUUGGAAGAACUUUCUUUUACAACCACUUAUUUCAUAAUUGCUCAGUAUAAAGUUUCUUGCCUUCUCCUCUGAAUCCUCUUAUUUGUGGAAUCCGACAGAGUGUGCAACUUGGUGCAGCUCUAGCUGGAAGUGGUUGGAGAUACACUGGUCUGAUUGUCAAAGACUUCUCUGAGCUCAAGAGUGUGGAGAGGAAGAAAAAGAAAGAAGGUAUCUCCCAAUUAUUUUGUGUGCAACAGCUCGGAUUCACAGAAUUACACUCAAGACAGCACUAUACAUUGUUUGACUCAGUACUAGGUAUUUCUAUGGAAAAUCCAUUUUUUAUUUUGAGAGAGCAAAGGAAUAGUGACAGAAAUACUAGGUUUCAAGAAAAUAAAUUACACCAAAUUGUCAAAAGUUUGUUUUAUCCUUAGAGAAAAAAUGACUAGAGUUUCUCAAGUAGAAGUAGGAACCUUCUGAAUGACUUAACAGAAGUUUUCUUUACCUCAGUAGAUAUGUGCGAGAGAGGUCCUGGAUUGCUUGUUGACUUCCAAGAAUCACCUCCUCCAGGCUCAAGAGCGGUUCAUACCCAUACACAAUAAGUUAAGCAAACGUGGCAAGAGGCCUGCAUGGAUGAAAAAGAAGUUCCUGACUAAACUCAAACAUCAGAAACAGAGCAUAUGAGAGGUGGAAGCAGGGAAGUGAGCAGGGUGGAAUAUAGAGGCACUGUCUGAAUGUACAGUUAGCAUUCAGAAAGUCAAAGACUAUAUGAAGUUGAAUCUGGGGAGGGACAUCCACAGCUUCUCUGGGAAACCUUUCCCAGUGCCUUACCACCCUCAUAGUAAAGAAUUUCUUCCUUAUAUCUAGUCUAAAUUUUUCCUCUUUUAGUUUAAAGCCAUCCUCCCUUGUCCCAUCACUACACAAACUGGUAAAGAGUCUCUCCCCAUCUUCCUUGUAAACCCCCUUAAAGUAUUGGAAGAUUGCAGUCAGGUCACCCCACAGCCUUCUCUUCUCUAGGCUAAACUCCAACCCAACUCUUUC
rnacentral:lncRNA from 1 species